rnacentral:rRNA from 1 species
AAUUGACGGGGACCCGCACAAGCGGUGGAUGAUGUGGAUUAAUUCGAUGCAACGCGAAAACCUUACUACCCUUGACAUGUCCAGAACCCUGCAGAGAUGCGGGGGUGCCCGAAAGGGAAUUGGAACACAGGUGCUGCAUGGCUGUCGUCAGCUCGUGUCGUGAGAUGUUGGGUUAAGUCCCGCAACGAGCGCAACCCUUAUCAUUAGUUGCUACGCAAGGGCACUCUAAUGAGACUGCCGGUGACAAACCGGAGGAAGGUGGGGAUGACGUCAAGUCCUCAUGGCCCUUAUGGGUAGGGCUUCACACGUCAUACAAUGGUCGGUACAGAGGGUUGCCAAGCCGCGAGGUGGAGCCAAUCCCAGAAAGCCGAUCGUAGUCCGGAUUGUUCUCUGCAACUCGAGAGCAUGAAGUCGGAAUCGCUAGUAAUCGCGGAUCAGCAUGUCGCGGUGAAUACGUUCCCGGGUCUU